AGCAUGCAGCUCCUCAAACUGUUGUUAUUAUACCUCAGUGGUCUCCUCUGACUGUCUGUUAGCAUGCAGCUCCUCAAACUGUUGUUAUUAUACCUCAGUGGUCUCCUCUGACUGUCUGUUAGCAUGCAGCUCCUCAAACUGUUGUUAUUAUACCUCAGUGGUCUCCUCUGACUGUCUGUUAGCAUGUAGCUCCUCAAACUGUUCUUAUUAUACCUCAGUGGUCACCUCUGACUGUCUGUUAGCAUGCAGCUCCUCAAACUGGCAGCUCUCUGCCAACCUCACUGACUGUGUCAAAGGAACAGGAAUCAUCUGCAUCAGCCUAUACCAGGGCAAUGGGACCCUCAACACUUCUAGGGCAGUGGGCCCCAGGUCCAAGAAUGCGACCAGGUUGGACUACAGCUUCACCUGCUGUUCAAAGAAGGUAGAGCUGGUGGUAGUGGACAGGUCAGGCAACGUGGGUGUGUGUCUGGGCUCAGUGAAGGACUCUGUGGGGGUGGUUGUGAGCUCUACUGCCCAGGGCCUGGUUUCCCAAAAGCAUCUUAAGUCUAAGUCCAUCGUUUCAACCAUUGGAUCCUACUUUUCUCAGAUUAAUUUAGCUUUAAAAUGCUAUUGGGAAACCGGGCCCAGGUCUCUAUCACCAACACUACAGCUGUACCUGUAGUUAGUGCUACAUCCACCCAGGUCUCUGUCACCAACACUACAGCUGUACCUGUAGUUAGUGCUACAUCCACCCAGGUCUCAGUCACCAACACUACAGCUGUACCUGUAGUUAGUACUACAUCCACCCAGGUCUCUGUUACCAACACUACAGCUGUACCUGUAGUUAGUACUACAUCCACCCAGGUCACUGUCACCAACACUACAGCUGUACCUGUAGUUAGUACUACAUCAACCCAGGUCUCUGUCACCAACACUACAGCUGUACCUGUAGUUAGUACUACAUCCACCCAGGUCUCUGUCACCAACACUACAGCUGUACCUGUAGUUAGUGCUACAUCCACCCAGGUCUCUGUCACCAACACUACAGUUGUACCUGUAGUUAGUACUACGUCCACCAGAGGGCCACCUUUGAUUCUGUCCCUGUAUCUAAGGGUCUGUGUGAUGCUUUCUCUCCUCCUGUGGAAUAGAGUAGAGCUGUAUAAUAGUUCAUGUAGGUAGAUGUCAUGUGGAACGUUGGAAUCAGUGCAUGUGGAGGGUUUUUAUUCUUCUUUCUCUUAAAUCUGUCAAACUGGAACAAUGGAGAUGUUG
rnacentral:lncRNA from 13 species